UUCCGCUCAUUCGGAGAUGAUCACCGGAAGAGUCUCCACCUGUAUGGUUCCCACCGGUCAGCUCUACUAUCUUUGCAGUGACCAGUUGCUCCGUGUACCUCAGACUGUGGGCCUACUGAACAGGAUUCCUGAGGCAUCGCUUUAUCGAACCGAUCUCGAUCCACGAAGGGCGUCUGUGUGCAGAGCAUCGAACUGAGCACCGGGGAAGGAGACGGCUUCUCCUGGGAUGGCACGGCCGGCGGCUCCCGGGCCGAGAUGGGAAGGGUCACAGAAGACUUCCAGAGGAGGAGAGCUUCCUGGCGCUCCUCGGCAUGAGUGGUGUGGGUGAGGGAAUUUCAGGCUGAUUCCAUUUCGGGGCUUUCAUCUCCGCCUUGGGUCUUCCCUUUCAAAAUCUGUCUGGAGGUCAUUUUUACCCUCCAGUUUGAGAGUGGACCCGGACGGCCCCGUGUUCGGGAAGAUCCAGGCAAAGACGCGGGCCGAGAGACACAGAGAGAGCUUCCGUGUCCAGCGAUGGGGUCGUGUGAUCACGUCCGCCUCUGUGGCCGAUGGCCAUCUCCGCGGCCCCGUAUUGCAGGGGGGCAGCGGAGGUGGCACGGUGAGGGGGAGUGGGAGGACAGCGUAAGAGGAAGCGGGAUUGUGGGUCUGAACUCACUGCAGCACAGCCUCCUGAGGGAGAGAUCGCGGGGGGAUGGUGGCAGUCACAGGGAAGGAUGGGCAUGGAGGGUGAUGCUUAGGGACUCUUUCUCCCCACGCGCCCCUCCACCCCCAUGCCCCUUCCCUCCUUUGACUUCAUCUCCUCUCACUACUCCCCACCCCCACAAAAUAAAGCCAGUGGUAGAUAGAACAGCGACUCCAUGAUUACGGCCUGCCAGCCGGACCGUCUUCCUCUGGAAUCUACCGGCAGCCAUCCCACACACACCAGAUUCGCCGUUCCUCGACACCCCUGGCUGAGACCGCCCGAGCCACGGUCGCGGAACGUGCGCCGGGAUCGACUCUGAAGGUCAUCGGGCGCCCCCCGAGAUGGGCCCUGGGACUCUGACUCAUGUGCACAGGGAAA